rnacentral:rRNA from 1 species
UGGCUCAGGACGAACGCUGGCGGCAGGCCUAACACAUGCAAGUCGAGCGGCAGCGGGAAAGUAGCUUGCUACUUUUGCCGGCGAGCGGCGGACGGGUGAGUAAUGCCUGGGAAAUUGCCCAGUCGAGGGGGAUAACAGUUGGAAACGACUGCUAAUACCGCAUACGCCCUACGGGGGAAAGCAGGGGACCUUCGGGCCUUGCGCGAUUGGAUAUGCCCAGGUGGGAUUAGCUAGUUGGUGAGGUAAUGGCUCACCAAGGCGACGAUCCCUAGCUGGUCUGAGAGGAUGAUCAGCCACACUGGAACUGAGACACGGUCCAGACUCCUACGGGAGGCAGCAGUAGGAG